ACGUACAUCCAUGCUUUUUUUUCAACAUUUCUAUACAAAAUAAACAAAAUAUCAUAUUUCUAAAGCACAGGGGGUCGUUUAGCGCAAGAUUCGUCAUUGCUAGCUACAUACAUGUAUGUUUAACUAGUCCUUUAUGGAACCGGUCGGGGUAGUUCAGUGAUAUACCCUUUGGUACAUAAUCGUGAGAUCGCAUGUUCGAGUUCUACUCGUAUCAUGGCUGCAUCAAACCUUAAACGUAGCUAUAGGUAAUACGUCGCCAAAUGCAUGCCUAUUUAGAACUGAGAAUUGCCGAUAAUGCGACCUUAAACCUCGUGUUGCGACUAACGUUCAGGGGCGCAUCCAGGAAUUUAUGUUACGGGGCGCUACUUUAUGAGGCAUGGGGUCCAGGGGCCGCCAUGGGCAAAUCCCUGGUGGGGACCCAGGGGGCGAAACCCCCGAAAGUUCCUGGAUUAAAACAUAUUUUAUAGGGCUAAAUAUGUGUCCUAUUUAGUCAUUUGUAUUAUUUUCUAUAUUUUUUUGAUAAGAUGAAAUUAAUCAAAUUACUUAAAUUUAAGGUUUUUUGGAAAAAAAAAUAAAUUCUCCCAUUAAAGUAAUUCAAGAAUUCGAAAGAUUUUGGAAUUUACUUCUCUUGGAGGGGAAGAAAUUAUGGCGUUGGCACGUUAAAGAACCCUCACUACUAGUAAGUUUAUUUUUGGUAAGUCACCGUUCUACGGCUGGUGACGGCUAAAUAUAAGUGGAACCCAAACUAAUGAAAUCCUUCGUAACAAAUCAAAAUAAACAAUCCCUCGGAUACAGUACAAAUGAAAACUUUUGCAAUGCAAAUGGCAAUUAUACAAUGCAAACGAAAAAAAAAAUACAAAUGGAAAAUACAGAAUACAAAUGGUAAAUUAUACAAUAUGAAUAGGAAAUAUAGAUUCUUAGGCCGUUUCCGGCAGACUGAUUUUGACAACGGAUAACUUCGUUUACCUGAUCAGGAUAUAUGGCUCACGGCGAGUGUGGCCGGUCGACAGGGGAUGCUUAUUCCUCCUAGGUAUCUGAUCCUACCACUGGUUUGUCCAGGGGUCCGUGUUUGCCCUACUAUCUAUUUUUUUUAUUGCUUAUAGGAGUAUGAGAUUGAUCACUGUUCGUUAUAUUCUCCUUUCAUUGAAUACAAAUACAAAAUAUUGACAAUGCAAAUGGAAAAUGUAGAAUAGAAAUGGAAAAUUACACAAUGCAAAUGGAAAAGAUCAAAUAUUGCAACGUUUGACAUGAUAUAGUAAAUUAUUCCAGAAAUUAAAAUUCAAAUCGCCGCGGUGAUCUAGGGGUAGAGCGUUCGCUCUGCAUGCGAAAGGUCGGGUUUCGAAUCCGGCCGCGACAGGCCUAAGUCGUUAAAACGGGUAGUGACAGUUCCAUCGCCAAACGCUCGGUAUCAGUUGUGAGUCGCACGGGUCCUCGGAGAUGACCUUAACAAGGGAUGUACCGUGUGAAAGUAGAUGUGGUACGCUAAAGACCCCCACUGCUCAAUGGCAGUAAGCACUGAGUGAAGGCCUAAAUUUGAAAGUUCUUCACCGAUCGGUGUGACUCCUCAAUAUGAGUGAAACUUUUUUAAGAGAUACAUUAAACAAGAUAAAAUCAAUCAAAAUGUGACGCAUAAAUCUUACUGCGGAAUUUUAUCGCGAACUGCGCGCCAUAAUUGAUUGCGAGUUCUGUCCUUGCGAAUCAUUUUCUUUGAGAUUAAAAAAAUAUGCAAAAUAAUGUAUUUAAGUUUCAGAUACCAUUUAAUAUUAGUAUUUUGUGUUUAUAACAAUAGUCCAGGUAAUUAAGAAAUUUAUAAAUUAUGUUUAAUUACUUGGAAUAUUAAAACCGGUGUGUCGUCGUAUCGAUAACUCACUCACUAUAUGUGCACGCUCUUCAUUCUGACGCCGCCCUUCACACAGUUCACAGGGUGUUCGAAUAGAGUUCGGAGUAACACAUUUUAAAUAUUGAAUACCUCUUUGUUCCGAUGAGACGGGUUUAAUUGGGUGUGGCACUGCCAUACAAUUGGGGUAUGUUAUUGAUGUAUUUGUGUUUAAUGUUUCCAAAAUAUUCAUGCCUUUGUUGACUGAGUAUUUGAUAUAUUGUAUAUUUUUGGAAAGAAACAGAGUAUUCAGUUUGUUUAUUGCGUUUCCUUGUAAUAGCUAAUUGCCAAUUUGAAUAUAUAAUAAAAAUAGUGACUUGAACCAAAUUCUUUGUCAUAAUGCGAUAAGGAUAUUACAGGGCUAUGUCGCAAAAAAUCUACCAUUUUUAAUCAAGAUGUAAAAACGAUUGGUAUAUCCCUGUGAACAUCCGCCGUGAACCCUACAUCUUGAUCAGAGUUUACGACUGGUGUGACCGGUCAACAAGCGAUGCUUACUCCUCCUAGGCACCUGAUUUCACCUUUGGUAUAUCCAGGAAAUUGUUUUCUCGCAACUUUCUAUUUUGCACUGUGUAUACGAGUUGUGGGAUUGCUCACUGUUCGUUAUCUUCACCUUUCAUUGAUGGAAAACUUUCUUUCAUCGCCUUUUUAAACUGAUUGAUUGGAGACAAAGGGAUUGGGAAGUCUAACCCUUUCAGUAUUGAGUUCGUGUUCAUACCAAGUGUAAUUUGAUACUCUCUCGACAUGUUUUGUACGCCAAAUGAGUGGAGGGAAGUUAAAACCAACAGAUGUUAAUAUCCUAAUGAAAAUUGUGUAUUUUAGAAUAGCUUUUAUCUUUUAAUUUUUGUGGUGUCCCCAUAUUUAGAAUUUUUUGUUAAUAUAGUGGUUUCAUCUAAGUACAACCAUUUACAAUUCCCUGUACAUUCGGUACCCAUUCCAUUCUCUGAACUUUGCAUAUAGGUUACUCCUGUAUUAUUUUCUGUAUAUGGAGCUAAUGAAUAUCUCGCAUUAAUGUUGUACCGAUUUCCUUCAUCUUUCCGCUGUUAAGCAUAUUUAGAUAUGUGUUUCACUGUGUGGUAUGGUAUACCGGUUAAACUCACCUCGACUGUUUUUCCGCUGUUCAGCAUGAUUUUCCUUGUUUCGAUCGAUUUUCCAUGUUUUUGUUUACUUUGAUAUGCCGAUGAAUAUUAAAUGGUAAAUUGAGCACCCACCAGAAUACGGUUAUCCAUGCAUACAUUUUUAAUAUCAGUUUGAAUUACAUUUAUCCACAUUCUUCGCUGUUAUGUUCGCCGUUCUGCUCCAUUGAUUAGCGCGCACGUUUUAUAUCUGAGAAGGUAUUGAUCACGAAAAUUGGUACCGUAUAAGUUUUACAUUAUGACCCCUGGGUCGAGGCCUCUGCUGGUGGACUGUUAGUCCCCGAGGGUAUCUGCAGCCCAGUAGCUUAGUACUUCGUAACUAGCUUGAAAAUACGGAUGUAUAUUUAAUUGUUGUUACAAAAUUUAGAAAUUCAUUUCAAAGUUAAGGAUUAUCUCCCUCGUGCAUAGCUCUUAUCCUUGGACGAAUUUGGCUCCACUUUUUUGGCACGCUGUUUUUGGCUAUAUUUAGCUCUAAAACUUCAUAGUUAUUUCGUAUUUCAAACAUUUCGGUUGAGCAUCACUGAAGAGACAUUAUUUGUCAAAAUGCUCAUCUGGUGCAUCAAAAUUGGUACCGUAUAAAUUUUACAUCAUGACCCCUGGGUCGAGGCCUCUGCUGGUGGACUGUUAGUCCCCGGGGGUCUCUACAGCCCAGUAGCUAAGUACUUCGUUACUAGCUCUAAAACUUCAUAGUUAUUUCGGAUUUCAAAGAUUUCGGUUGAACAUCACUGAAGAGACAUUAUUUGUCGAAAUGCGCAUCUGGUGCAUCAAAAUUGGUACCGUAUAAGUUUUACAUAUAACAUUUCUUGAUUUUUCCGCCUGUAACUAUUAAGUGAUACAUGAAUCAAAGCUGGCAUGAAUUCCGAAAUACAUAAACAUUUCUCAUUUUAUCCCGCUAUAUUUUUUUUUUCAGAUAGCCUACCCGUAUAUACACCAAGUGUGAAUGUCACACCUGAGUUAUUUUCAAACUGGAUUCCAGAGCUCAGAAGGUGAAUGUAAAAAUCCAGAAAUGGAUUAUGAGGAACUGAUCUGAGCUUCGGUGAAAACGUACUUAAUCCAAAUACCAAGCCGAGCGAGAACAGUCUAUAUUCUUCAAAGUGCCUUGUUUCUUGUGGGCAUGCAUUUCCUUUUGCUGUAAAUAAAAAAACAAGAUUUGUUUGCUUUUCAAUUACUCGGGUAUUCAAUACUUCCGGAAAGAUGUAUUUUAUGCACAUUUCACCUUGUAUAUCAGUAAAUUUUAUAUGAAAUGGCAUUCGCUAAUAUAAUAUAAGUAACUGUGAGACAAUUAUUUGCUUUUUAUUUAAUUGCAUGGGUUAACAAAUGAUGAUGAUUAGACCAUUGAUGAAACAUGAAGAUAACGGACAGUGAUCAAUCUCAUUACUCCUAUAAUCAAUACAGUGUAGGGAGUUGGACAAACACAUACUCCUGGAUAAACCAGAGAAGGGAUGAGGUUCUUAGGAGAGGUAAGCAUCCCUCAUUGACCGGUCAAAACCGCCGUGAACCAUAUGAAUGUAUCUUGAUCAGGUAAACAGAGUUAUUCGAAGUCAAACUAAGUGUGCCAAGAACGGCCUAACAAUCUGAGUUACACAAGCCAUACGACAUUUGACCCAAUGCUAGGUUGUAUUAACAAACUAGAUUGUUAUAAUGACCAUAAAAUUAGCGAGAUGCUGACUUUAAACGAGACUAUUGAAACCCCUGCAUAUUCAAUUUGUUUGUCAGUAGCCUGACUCGAUUUAAAUAUUGAUCAUAUGCAGAACAAGCUCACAUCCUUGACGCUAAUACCAACAUAAAAUAAAAAGGUGUGCGUGAUUUACUGCCGUGAUUCAAACUUCAUAAUGAUACACAGAAAAAUAGUUAUAUAUCCGAAUCAUUUCAUCUACAUCUGAAAUCGAGAUUUCUUUUCUUGCAUGUAUUUACUUUGUACUCCUACCUCAAGACAGCUAACGUAACAAACAGUACAUAUUAUUUCCAGAACAUCUUCUACUAUGACUUCCG